CUUGCUUCCUGCUGGUCUGGAGCUACUGUCAAUCAACCAGGUCCCAUUGGGAGCUGGAGCGCACCCAGUGCUGGACCCAUGGUUGCACCUAGUUGACCACAUUAUGUUGUAACUUCUUGAGGACCAUCGGAGGAAUGGGGAGCUAAUGAUUGAGCUGGUGGUUGGGUUCCGUAGAUUCAGAAACACACCGAGAUGAGGAUAUGCCCAUCGAAGCAUUGAAUCCUGUUUCGCUGAGAAAGAAAAGCAUGUGUGUGUUCUUACAAAAGACAAACUCUACUGAAAGCCCCUAUGGUUCUACAAACAUUUUACAGGAAGGAAAAGGACAUAUCAACUGCAACUUCAAACCACUUGCAGAUACAAUCACUGAGUCCUUAGAGACUUUUCCUCAAAAUCUGCACUUUUGAACUUCAUCAAGUUUAACCUCUCCUACUUUGAAAGCUGCCUUUUUCUGCAUGCUAGGGGCGUGACUGUAUGUGUGUUGGUGGAAAGUAGAACAUACGUGUAUAUAUUAGUAGUUUUAAUAUUUUCUACCCUGAGUAAGUAUUAGCACAAUCAAACUAACUCUUAUGCUGUUUAACUCAAGAAUGCAAAGCUGACUUAAUUCUUAGACAUUACUCACAGCCCGCUAUAUACAACUUCAGUCUGUUUCCCUCAAACCAGGAGUGGGGAAAAGAGUAAAAUCACUUAAUCCUCAUCACCUGGUUGACCUCUAGCCAUUUUACAUUCAGAUGGCGAUUAAUGAAAUUUGCAGGAACUUGACAAUGUGAGAAUGCAUUCAGCAAUGGGCGCUUUAUCAAUUUAAACCCUCAGAGAUGACCUUCCUAAUGACGGUAACACUUGUGAGUGUGGUUGCUCAUAUCUGGAUGUUACAACAGUUCUCGACUGCUGGGAAGCUGAUUGCAGUUAGCAGAUACUGUCUGUUGCUCUGUUUCCUCUUCAUGCAAACUCAACUGGAAAAAGUUAUUGCAUGUUUAUCAUGCACACCAGGGCUCAUUGGUUCCUCGUAGCAAAGAUAAAUAAAGAAGUGACACACUUGGAAAAUAUUUUGGAUUUGUCAAGUUGGCUGUGGAAGCCAAGCCUUUGCUUCAGGUGUCAAGUUAAUUUUGAUUUUUGACACUCAACAAAAUCAAGGUUAUGUGGAAUGCAAUACCAUAGUGCAAGACCAACAGCCAUGUAAUAUUCCUCAUACACUACCUCCAGAUCUGUAAUAUUACUGUAGCUUACAAAAACAAAGUUGCUGGGAAAGCUCGGCAGGUUUGGCAGCAUCAGUGAAGGAUAAAACAGAGAUAACGUUUCGGGUCCGAUGACCCUUCCUCAAAAGGGUUCUGAGGAAGGGUCACUGGACCCGAAACGUUAUAUCUGUUUUAUCCUUCACAGAUGCUGCUAAACCUGCUGAGCUUUUCCAGCAACUUUGUUUUUGUUCCUGAUUUACAGCAUCCGCAGUUCUUUCGGUUUUUAUUACUAUAGUUUACACUGCCUACAAUUCUGUAAUAUUACUAUCCACAAACAUAGAUGUGUAACACUGCUGUACACUAUCUACAGUUCUGUAACAUUACAAUGCCUACCAUUCUGUAAUAUUACAACCACUGAUCUAUUAUAUAACUAGACACUACCUACAGAUCUAUAAUUCUACAAUAGUUACGAAUUACAAGAAUUAGCUUUACUGUCACAUGUACUCACAUCAGUACAGUGAAAAGUUUGCUUGCCACUUAUGGUGUCAUCUUAGCUACCAAGGUAACUAGGUACAGGUUCUUAAGUACAAAUUCUUAGGGAAAAAUAAUUAGAAAAAUAAAGAAAUUAAAAAGUCCAGCAAUAAAUUAGAAAAGUAGAGAAAUAAGUGUUUCAGAUUGGCAGUCCUUCCCACCCAGACCACACUGGAAUUCACCACAAGGUCAGAAGUUCAAGUCCAUGCUGAAGGCAGGAGUCUGCGCUGGCUUUCAUCUUGGACAUCGUCGAUGCCUCACCGAAACAGGAGGUAAAAAGAAAAAGUUUGCGAAAAGAGUGAGAGAAAAAAAGGAAAGAAAUUGAUGGAGCAGACAAGUUCCGGCUCAGGAAUCCUACCUGCGUCUAAAUUGGAGACUCUUUUUUAACAAUCCAUAUGAUGAUAUAAAAUAUGGACAAUUGAUCUUGAAUUCUGUUGUUUGAUUUAAUACUUGGAACUUCCAUGGACUGAAAUGAUUUUAAAAAUGAAAAAAAAUAUUGGCUGAAAAUGUCUAUAGGCAUCACCUGGCCAUACAGAUAGCCUAGGUUUCAAGAAACUUAAACAUUGGAAAUGGGGACACUUCUAACAUUAGUAUUACUGCCAGAAAGAAGAGGAAAAACACAUGAUGUUCCAGUGGUUUAUUGUUACAGGCAGCAGAUUCUGAAGACACAGCACUAACUCCAGGUUCAUCAGAAUGAAAAUGUGGUUAAAAAAAAAAUUGCCCUAAUUGUGGCAGUUUUUGUGACUGCAUGCUUCAGUGACAAUCCAGCUUGUCCCAGGAUUUUGUUGUUGUCCCAGUCGAAUUGGUGGUUCUCCUUAUCCACGUUGAUUGAGAUGAGUGAGUAUUGGUUGACCAGAGACAGGCAUGGAAAUUCCUAGAAGCCUGGCACUCCAAGAAGAAAGCCAUUAAUAAACACAUAGAACUCGACCCCAUAUACAUUCCACUACGAAGGAAAACCGGAAGUGAGGCAAUCCAUGGACUCCAAAGUUUAAAAACCAGGUGGGAAACCACACCGACGCUUCUUCGGAGGCUGCACUGAUGAUGUUACCCAGCAUGGCAACUAAAUGUCUGCGGAACAACAAACCAGCUUGGCGAGCCAACCAACCUCAACAACCACAACCCGAGCUACAAAUCUACUCCAAAACCUUAGAGUUACUUUCAUACUCUAUUUAUCCAAAUUAUACUGCAUCUGCCAUUGAUUUGCCCACUCACCCAACCUGUCCAGAUCAUGCUGAAGGAUCUCUGCAUCCUUGUCAUAGUCUAACCUCGUCUAUUUUCCUCUUCUUAAUCAAUCCCUUGGUCCUUCAUUGCUGAAUUCUAAACUGCUCCAAAUCCUCAGAUUUAUUAUUUUUCUUGGCCAAUCUUUAUGUUUUUUCCUUGGAUCAGAUACUAUUGCUUAUUUCCAUUGUAAGCCAUGGAUUGGCCCUCUUACCCGUUCUGGUUUUGGGACAGACAGGAAUAAACAGUUGUUACAGUUCCCCUAUGUUUUCCUUGACUGUUUGCCAUUGGCGCAGUGCCCUCAUGCAGUCCUUGAAUGUUUGCCAGCUGUACUUUAGCUUCCAGGGAACAGAGUGUUCUAAAAUUUCUUUAAACAGAGUCAGGUCGCGACCAGGAACGACAUAAUAGGAGCUUAAUGCACGGAUUGUGUCCUGCAGCAAUGGCAGUGAAUCAAGAGUAGGCUGGUGAAAGCAGGCCGGUGAGGCAGCCCAGAGCAAGACGCUGGCAGUGGCAUGUCAUGGGCUGGAAAGCCCAGAGUGGAGGCAUGGCGAGGGCUGUAAAGCCGAGUGGGACUGCAGCCGUGCAAAGGAAAGUUGGACAUUCUUAAGUUAUCUUUUUUUCCUUAUUUUAUUCUAGGUUAAUGUGAAUCAGGCCAUAUAUGUAUACACGUGACAAUAAAUGAUUCAAUGAGAUUUAGUUCUAAUGAGGAUUCAGAUACACUCAUUAAUGGCCUACUCCUACUCCUAUGUUAGGUGUGUGUCAGAGUGAUGGGACAGUGUUCCGAAUGGCCUCUUUUGUACAUGGAGCAUGAGCUGAAUCAAAGGAGGUGAUAAUAGGAUGGAUGGCAAAAACCUUGGUCAGAGAUGUACAGCAUGGAAACAGAUACUUCGGUCCCACUUGCCGAUGCA